CUACCCAUGUCCAGGAUGAAGGUAAGGUAAUACUUACUGGAGGUCCGAACCCACGCACGUUGAAAAGUGCGGGGAUGAGGUGUGGGUAGCGGAGAAAUUCCAAUCGAACUUGGAGAUAGCUGGUUCUCUCCGAAAUAGCUUUAGGGCUAGCCUCGAGGUAAAGAGUCAUGGAGGUAGAGCACUGUUUGGACUAGGGGCCCUUCUCGGGUUACCGAAUUCAGAUAAACUCCGAAUGCCAUGUACUUAUACUCGGGAGUCAGACUGCGAGUGAUAAGAUCCGUAGUCGAAAGGGAAACAGCCCAGACCACCAGUUAAGGUCCCCAAAUAUAUGUUAAGUGGAAAAGGAUGUGGGGUUGCUUAGACAACCAGGAUGUUGGCUUAGAAGCAGCCACCAUUGAAAGAGUGCGUAAUAGCUCACUGGUCGAGUGACCCCGCGCCGAAAAUGUACCGGGGCUAAACAUAUUACCGAAACUGUGGAUGAACCUCUUUAGAGGUUCGUGGUAGGAGAGCGUUCUAAGGGCGGUGAAGUCAGACCGGAAGGACUGGUGGAGCGCUUAGAAGUGAGAAUGCCGGUAUGAGUAGCGAAAGAAGGGUGAGAAUCCCUUCCACCGAAUAUCUAAGGUUUCCUGAGGAAGGCUCGUCCGCUCAGGGUUAGUCGGGACCUAAGCCGAGGCCGAUAGGCGUAGGCGAUGGACAACAGGUAGAGAUUCCUGUACCAGUGCUAAUUGUUUAACCGAUGGGGUGACACAGAAGGAUAGGGAAUCGCACGAAUGGAAAUGUGCGUCCAAGCAGUGAGUGUGAGAAGUAGGCAAAUCCGCUUCUCGCGAAGCAUGAGCUGUGAUGGGGAAGGAAAUUAAGUACGGAAGUUCCUGAUUUCACGCUGUCAAGAAAAGCCUCUAGGAAGAGUAGUACUGCCCGUACCGCAAACCGACACAGGUAGAUGAGGAGAGAAUCCUAAGGUGAGCGAGAGAACUCUCGUUAAGGAACUCGGCAAAAUGACCCCGUAACUUCGGGAGAAGGGGUGCUCUAUUAGGGUGCAAGCCCGAGAGAGCCGCAGUGAAUAGGCCCAGGCGACUGUUUAGCAAAAACACAGGUCUCUGCAAAACCGUAAGGUGACGUAUAGGGGCUGACGCCUGCCCGGUGCUGGAAGGUUAAGAGGAGUGCUUAGCUUCGGCGAAGGUACGAAUUGAAGCCCCAGUAAACGGCGGCCGUAACUAUAACGGUCCUAAGGUAGCGAAAUUCCUUGUCGGGUAAGUUCCGACCCGCACGAAAGGCGCAACGAUCUGGGCACUGUCUCAACGAGAGACUCGGUGAAAUUAUAGUACCUGUGAAGAUGCAGGUUACCCGCGACAGGACGGAAAGACCCCGUGGAGCUUUACUGCAACCUGAUAUGGAAUGUUUGUACCGCUUGUACAGGAUAGGUAGGAGCCGAAGAGACGUGUGCGCUAGCAUACGAGGAGGCAAUGGUGGGAUACUACCCUGGCUGUAUGACCAUUCUAACCCGCCACGCUUAGCGCGUGGGGAGACAGUGUCAGGUGGGCAGUUUGACUGGGGCGGUCGCCUCCUAAAGAGUAACGGAGGCGCCCAAAGGUUCCCUCAGAAUGGAUGGAAAUCAUUCGCAGAGUGUAAAGGCACAAGGGAGCUUGACUGCGAGACUGACAAGUCGAGCAGGGACGAAAGUCGGGCUUAGUGAUCCGGUGGUUCCGCAUGGAAGGGCCAUCGCUCAACGGAUAAAAGCUACCCCGGGGAUAACAGGCUUAUCUCCCCCAAGAGUCCACAUCGACGGGGAGGUUUGGCACCUCGAUGUCGGCUCGUCGCAUCCUGGGGCUGUAGUCGGUCCCAAGGGUUGGGCUGUUCGCCCAUUAAAGCGGCACGCGAGCUGGGUUCAGAACGUCGUGAGACAGUUCGGUCCCUAUCCGUCGCGGGCGCAGGAAAUUUGAGAGGAGCUGUCCUUAGUACGAGAGGACCGGGAUGGACACACCGCUGGUGUACCAGUUGUUCCGCCAGGAGCAUCGCUGGGUAGCUAUGUGUGGCAGGGAUAAACGCUGAAAGCAUCUAAGCGUGAAGCCCCCCUCAAGAUGAGAUUUCCCAUUUCUUCGGAAAGUAAGAUCCCUGAAAGAUGAUCAGGUAGAUAGGUUUGGAGUGGAAGUGUAGCGAUACAUGGAGCGGACAAAUACUAAUCGAUCGAGGACUUAACCAAAA
rnacentral:rRNA from 1 species